rnacentral:rRNA from 1 species
UACGUAGGGUGCAAGCGUUAAUCGGAAUUACUGGGCGUAAAGCGUGCGCAGGCGGUGAUGUAAGACAGUUGGGAAAUCCCCGGGCUCAACCUGGGAACUGCAUCUGUGACUGCAUCGCUGGAGUGCGGCAGAGGGGGAUGGAAUUCCGCGUGUAGCAGUGAAAUGCGUAGAUAUGCGGAGGAACACCGAUGGCGAAGGCAAUCCCCUGGGCCUGCACUGACGCUCAUGCACGAAAGCGUGGGGAGCAAACAGG